rnacentral:tRNA from 1 species
GUCUCCGUGGCGCAACGGUAGCGCGUCCGACUCUGGAACGGAAGGUUGUGUGUUUAAAUCACAACAGGGGUCA